rnacentral:rRNA from 1 species
AUGGCAUGGGACCAAAUGGUCAAAUCAAAGAGAGCAGGGGGAAUUGGCUUCCGGGACAUGCAAAUUUUCAAUUAAGCCUUACUAGCAAGACAAGGUUGGCGCCUACUACGAAACCCCGAUAGCCUUUUUGCAAGAGUUCUAAAAUUCAAAUACUACCCGAGAGGUGAACUCAUGGAUACGGUAUUUGCAUCGGACGCGUCUCAAACGUGGAGGGGCAUUGAGCAUGGUCUGGAGCUACUGAAAAAGGGUCUUAUUUGGAGAGUAGGCAAUGGAGAAAAAAUAAAAAUCCAAAGAGACCAAUGGGUACCGAGAAAGAGCGGUUUAAAGAUAACAGAAUUUAAGAGGAGAUCAAGAUUGAGAUGGGUGAAUCAGUUGAUGAUGCCAGGGAGGAAAGAAUGGGAUGCGGACCUUGUGCACCAAAUGUUCCAUGAGUAUGACGCAGAAGAAAUCUGCAAAAUAAGGAUCCCGACAAGUAACGUGAAGGACUGUAUAGCAUGGCAUGGAGAAAGGUCAGGCGUCUUCUCUGUGCGUAGUGCGUAUAAGAUUGGUGCAAACCUUAAAUACCACGGCGACCUAAAUGCGUCCAGCUCAGCUAAUGAUGCGGAUAACAGAAGUAUAUGGGACCUAAUAUGGAAGACAAAGGUCCCUGGAAAGGUUAGGAUCUUUGCGUGA